GUAGUACUGCCAUGAGAAGAAAGGGAGCAAGUCUGGUCCCUAUUAAGUCUGGGGAUUCUAAGUGCUAGCUUGGGCACAACUGCAGAGCCCAGAUACAAGUGAACCUCCUUGAUGUAUGGGCAGAAGAUGUGGUGGAUGGAUUUCCUGAGUAAUCAAGAGGAAUGAAAAAAAAAAGACAAUUAUUCUACUAUGAAGCAGUGCCUUAUUGUGGGACAAAUGUACAUAACAACAUAAUGAGAACAGAGGUGCUCUAGAAUCCAGCCUCUGCCUCUGUCCAGGCUUUCCUCUGUGUGGACGAUCCUUGCUGCCAUUCAACCACCAUACCGUCUUCUCUGGAGAGGUACCAACAGCUGCUUGUACAAGGACAAUGACAAAUACCCUGACCAACACAGAUGCACUUGUUUUCGGGUUUUAUUUUGAGCACCCAAUGAGAAGUCAUCAAUGCAGUGGAAUAUCACCAAGAAAGUAAUAAAUGAACUAUAAUUAAUUUUUGUUACCUGUAGUAUAUUUCUUGUAAUCCUCCUGGAAUUCUGCAUUUUCAUUUUUCCUUUGCUGUGUGGUUACUUUUGAAUUAGUGUUGUCACACUAAUAAAGUAAUAUGGUAUAAUCA
rnacentral:lncRNA from 1 species